rnacentral:rRNA from 1 species
UACGUAGGUGGCAAGCGUUGUCCGGAUUUACUGGGCUAAAGGGUGUGUAGGCGGAAUCUUAAGUAGGAAGUGAAAGGUUGGAGCUCAACUCCAACACUGCUCCCUAUACUGGGGUUCUGAGUCCCGGAGAGGAAGAUGGAACGACACGUGUAGCGGUGAAAUGCGUUGAUAUGUGUCGGAACACCAAAUGGCGAAGGCAGGUCUCUGG